UCACAAUACAAGCAGUGCGAUUAUGG
rnacentral:sRNA from 1 species